rnacentral:rRNA from 1 species
UACGUAGGUGGCAAGCGUUGUCCGGAUUUACUGGGCGUAAAGAGCGCGCAGGCGGUCGUUCAAGUCGCGUGUGAAAGCCCCCGGCUCAACUGGGGAGGGUCACGCGAUACUGAUCGACUCGAAGGCAGGAGAGGGUAGUGGAAUUCCCGGUGUAGUGGUGAAAUGCGUAGAUAUCGGGAGGAACACCAGUGGCGAAGGCGACUACCUGGCCUGUUCUUGACGCUGAGGCGCGAAAGCUAGGGGAGCGAAUGGG